rnacentral:tRNA from 1 species
UGCCUGGUGGUCCUGUGGCUAAGACUCAGCACUCCCAAUGCAGGGGACCUGGGUUUGAUUCCCAGUCGGGGAG